CAAAUAACGCGAGAUCGCUGCCAAAGGCCGCGAGAGUUCGGACGGCUAGGAAGGGGGAAUAACGGAAGAACGAGAGUCGGGGGGAGGGGAGAGGACGGAGAGAAGGCCUGCGCUGGAGCUGGCCCUAAAGAUCUUGAGAACCAAAGGAGGAGUGAAACUCUGAAGACCUCUCCUUUCCCGUUCUGGGCUUUGGCUGACUUUCAAAGUCAGGGGGUGAAUGAAGGAGAUGGAGGGAAAAGACAAGGAGGAAGUUGUCUCACCAGUAACAAGCUCUUACUGUCUUGGUGGCCUCCCUCGGCCUUGACCUCCCCGGCUGUUCAAGCAUUACCAGCCCCAUUCCAUGAACAUCAAAGAGAUGGAGGAAGUUCCCGGAAUACCCAGGUCCUAUUGUACAGAGAAUGACGCCCUCUAUCCAUCAAACUUCUGAAGGCAGACUGUAUUCCUGUGAUCUCUCUCUGAAGAAUGUCUAUUGUGAUUUCCAUAAAGUAGUUUUCUUUCUUGGUUUUAAGUGUCCCACAUGAAAGACAACCUUCUGACAGUUCUGUUUCCAGUAACAGUGCCAAGCAAUUCACUCCAGAACCUCCUCCAUUUCCUAUCUUUGUUUGGCACCAGGAAAUUACAGUGGAAGACCUAAAUUGUUUACCCAGAAAUAAAUAAUCUCAUAGAUGAAGGUAUUAAAGUAAUUGAAGUCAAUAGGACAGGAAAAGUCUCAAGACCUAAAAGGCCAGCUUUUGGUGACGGGAACCAUUUAAACAGAUUUUUGGCUAUUAAGAGAUUCCCAUGUUUCCAUGAUGGUAAAAAUGUUCAAUCAUUUGAAAUGAGAACAGGAAUGAAAAGAUCAUAGGAUUUCAGACUAUAAGUGAUGUUUAGAAAUAAUUUCUUCCUCCUCCCUUGUUUUAUUUUUUUAACUCUCGCCUUUUAUCUUAAUAUCAAAUAUAUUUUUUAAUCCUUACCUUCUAUCUUAGAAUUAAUCCUAAGUAUUGGUCCCAAAGCAGAGGAAUGGUAAGGGCUAGUCAGUUGGAGUUAAAUGAUUUGCCCAGAGUCAUACAGUUAGGCAGCGUCAGAAAUUAGAUUUUGAACUCAGGGCCUCCUGUCUCCAGGCCUGCCUUUCUAUCCACUUGAGCCACCUACCUGCCCCCUUAGUAUUAACUCCCACCCCCACCCCCCCAAAAAAGAGUAGCAAGAGUAUGCAUAUAGCUAGGUGGUAUCUGAGUUCGGAUUUGAACCCAGGUCCUCCUGAUUCUAGGCCUGGGGUUCUAUCUACUGUGCUGCCUAGCUAUCCCCCUCCCUUGUUUGUUUGUUUGUUUUCGCAGAGGAAACUGUCAUUCAUUCAGAGAGGAAAGUUACUUAGCCAAAGGCCACACUGCCAAUCAGGGGCAGAAUCGGGAUUCAGACUUAGGCCUUUUGGUUCCAAGACUCUUUCUUUCUACCAUGCCACAGUUAGUAGUUGGAUUGACCAAGCAGCUGCUCUAUGCUUCCAGUUCAAUUUGUGUAGGAUUUUUCAUUUCUAGGAGCUCCACUCUGGAGCAGUUUUAAGGGAAUAUGUUUGAGGGAUCCAAAGAAAGGAUGAUGGGAUUCAAGUGAUGAGUUCUGAAGUCUCUUCCUACUCAGAAUCUGUGAUUCUCUAAAUCUCCUCCAAGAAACCUUUCACUUGCUAAGGAAGAAGCAAAUAAUUCUAUAGUGCAGAAACAGGUGGCAGGUCUCUGUCUCCAAGAAAUGCUCUCAUUUUGGACUACCUGGGAGAAAUGAGUUUUAAGCUGGGACUACAUGUGUUUGCAUAAUUUACCCCAUGUACUACAGGCAGCUCUUUACCAGGGCAGCUUCAAGGAGCAAUAAUGAAGAGGCAAGGGAGUUAUCAUUCACUGAAGGAAGGUUCAGAAAUCCUGAUCCUAUAGGAAUUAAUUACUCGUGGAUUCAAGGAUUUCAUCAGGAGAUGUAACUUGAAAAGAAGAUGUGGAAAUAAGCAAAGAGGGAGCCCAAGAGAAAAAAAAAGUUAAGUCCUAUGGUCUCAGUCUUCUUCUCUACCUCAAGUCUAAUCCUCCUACCAGGGGACUCCAGUAUACAUAGUAAUAUUGAUGUUCCUUCAAAUAUUCUACAUUUCUCUUUCAUCAGUCUACCCAACUCCCAUGACUUACUCUUCCAUUCCAUUUCAACUCUGGACAAGGAUAUAUCUUUGAUUACAAUUACCCCCAAGAAGUACCACCCAUAGACCAGGUAAACAAGGCCACAGGUCCAUGUUCUUUCCCUUAAAAGGUCCUGCUUAUAAAAAAUUAUUACAAAGGGUAGCUGGGUGGCUCAGUGGAUUGAGAGUCAGGCUUAGAGAUGGAAGGCCCUAGGUUCAAAUCUGGUCUCAGAUAGUUCCUAGCUGUGUGACCCUGGGCAAAUCACUUAACCCACAUUGCCUAGCCCUUACCAUUCUUCUGCCUUAAUACACAGUAUCGAGUCUAAGAUGGAAGGUAAGGGUUUAAAAAAAUUUUUUUUAAAUAAAAAAUUAUUAUGAUAAAAAUGAAAUAUGCAAAACAAAAUAAAAUUAUGAAUGACCUGCACAACCAAAUGAAUGUAACCUUAUUUGUAUGGGAUAUAAGAACAUUGGACUACAUCUAAAUUAAGCCAGUCCAAUUGUCCUGAAUUAUGUAGUUCAAAGGUGGUGGAUAACCCAUUGGAAGAGCUAUUUUGGAAGUGAGGCAUCUAGUUGCCACAUCUGUCAUUGCUCUGUCAGUUCAGCAGUGACUGGUGUCCAAUCCCAAUUCUGCCAGCAUGAGAGGUUGGGAGUUUAAUUAUCCCUCCCUCUGCAGUUUCUGCUGUAAGAAUUCAAGGAAGGAUGAAAAGAAAAGCCUUGAGCUGCCCUGUCAGAGGGUGAUAACUUGGAGCCCAUCUAAGAUAAAGAUCUGAGUGCCCUCUAUCAAGAGGUUGAAACUCAGAGUCUGCCUGAGAACAAGCCCAAGUGCUCUUUCACUCCCCUUCUUUAGGUCUCUCAUAAUAAUACAUGUCUCUAGCUGGCAAAGACAUGCUGUUGCUGACCGUUCCAUGAGCCUUGGAUGGUGCUUGAAUCAUAAUCUUACUUCAAGUCUUAUCUGCAUUUCUUGGGAAUAUUCUCUCACCCAAAUUCCUGGAAUCCUUAUCCUGC